rnacentral:tRNA from 1 species
GCCUCCGUGGCGCAAUUGGCUAGCGUGUUCGGCUGUUAACCGAAAGUUGGAGGUUCAAGUCCUCCCGGGGGCG